UACAGCACUUCUUCAGCUUCACCUAAAGAUCCUGAACAUUCAUUAACUGAAUAUAUUGCCCACCUGGAGGCCAUUCAGCAGAGACUGGGAAUUAUUAUGCCGGGACAAUCUCGACAAGAGAAACUUUGAAAGUAUUGGGAUCACAUCUUUGACAUGAACUACAGAAACUUUCAGCUAUUGCUUUCUUCUCCAGUGAAUAUCUUGCGCAAGCAACAUGUCUGCAUGUACAGAAUCUGUCAACACUUUUGUUCAGUUGAAUAAAAGUGCCUGUGUUUGCUGUAAUUUUGCAUCAUGUUUUUAUACAAAGUAUUUUUUUAUAAAUUUUAGUAAUCCUUCACGGUUUUUUAUUUGGAUUUAUUAGGAAGUUGACAACUGAAUGUGCCAUGCUGUGUUUUUCUUAAGACAAGUGCCAUAAUGUCUCUGUCAGUGAUUCUUUUUACUAAAAUUCUAAAAUGAUUCAGUUGGAUUUCUCACAAACCAUUAUUAAAAAAAACCUUCUAAACCCUUA